GUUCUUAUUAUAGAUCAGGCUGUAGUGUGGUAUAAUUCAGGUUUUACUUUUUGUUUGGAAUCAUUUUCUAAACUUCCAUAUUGAAAUUUGCUUCAGUUUCUGAGGUGCUGAUUGUUAAAAAUCGUGAACUGUUACUUGCUACAGUUUCAAGGAGGCUCUCUAGCCCUGCCGAACCAUUGCCAACAUCAGCUUUGGUUUUGUGUAGUGAACUCCAUUGAAGCCUCUAUAGUGAAGAUACCACAAACUCUGCAGGCAGGUGGUUCCAGUACUGCACUGUCUUUGUGUGGGAAUAAUCCUGCCUGAUACCUGUCUUGAAAAAUGCAGACACAAUUUGUAGCCUUUUUUUUCUUCUUACACCAUCUGUUACUUCUGAGGAGAGCUUUGCUGUGUUAGUCCUAUUCGAGAUGAUGCAGUCUGCAAUUACCUCACUGUGUAGCUUUUCUCUUUACAAGACCAAACAAGUCCUGCUUUCUCACCUCCUGUGCUUCUGUCCCCUAACUCUCUGAAUAUUAGUCAUCAUGCCAUACUUGUCUAUACAGUACCUUUCUCAUCUGGAAGAGAUGAAGAUGUGAAAAGCCCCUGUGAGGAUAGUGGGGAAGAUCUUAGAAUGGUAUGAAGUAGGAGCAUAGGUACCUAAUCUGGGUGCUAAUUAGGUGUGUCAGUUUAGAAGCUCUUCAAGUUAUUGCUUGUAUUUUACCUUUUCCACCCAGAUAACUGACAAGAAGUUGGUUCUGGAGAAGUUAAGAUUUCUUAAGAAAAAAGGGUGGCAGCAUGCUGUGCCUUAGGUCUCCACAACUCCUACAGAUGUCGCCUACACUAGUUUGUUUUCCGAAACCUCUUGUAAGGAGAAAUUUAUCUAGAAUAUAAUGCAAAACUAAAAUCUCAACCAGGACUUCAGAAGUUAAUUUCUUUGUGGCUGUGUAGUUUCAUCCAUAAUGUGCAGUGCAUUCCAUCAAACUUACAGGAUGUGUAACCUGGCAAAGCAAACUCUGCUACUGGAACUGGAGCGUUUAUAUUCCCUGAUAUCCUUGUGUUACCUGUUUAACUUUUGCUAAUACUUUUGUGACACUUUAUUAAUAAAAUGUAACAUGUCCAUGACAGUAAUUUAAUUUUACUCUGAAACAUGGUAAUAAAUGUUUGAACUGUAGAGCAUUUAUGUAGAAGUGUUUUAGCCUGAAGAAAUGUUUAGAGGAGAAGCUGAGCUGUGCUUCUCCCACUGGCACUACAAUUUAGCAGUGUAUAUUCAGAAGUAAAUGGUUUUCAGAUUAGAACAUCCUCUUACAAUGAAACCAGCCAGAGGCAUGAACAUUAAAAAGAUCAGGAGAACAGUACUGCCCAGAUGAAAGACAGGCAGAUGGGUGGUGAAGCAGUCCGUGCACAAAAUGAACAUGGUGCCCUUGUGGAAGCUUAACUGAAUGCCUGGUUUGCCAGGGCUGCAUGACUUCUGCAUAAUUUUGUCUUGUAGACUGGGAAUUGACCCAUGCAAUUGGAAAAGGAGGUAUUGACUUUAAAACAAACAAACAAAAACAAAACAA